ensembl:snRNA U1 U1 spliceosomal RNA
AUACUUACCUGGCAGGGGAGAUACCAUGAUCAAGAAGGUGGUUGUCCCAGGGUGAGGUUUAUCCAUUGCACUCCAGAUGUGCUGACCCUUGAGAUUUCCCCAAAUGUGGGAAACUUGACUGCAUAAUUUGUAGUAGUGGGGGACUGAGUUUGCGCUCUCCCCUG